UACGAAGGGUGCAAACGUUAUUCGGAAUCACUGGGCGUAAAGGGUGCGUAGACGGCUUAUUAAGUUCGUUGUUAAAGGCUCCGGCCCAACCGGAGUAUUGCAAUGAAAACUGGUAAACUAGAGGGUGAGAGAGAGAAGUGGAAUUCCCGGAGUAGCGGUAAAAUGCGUGGAUCUCGGGAGGAACACCAAUGGCGAAGGCAGCUUCUUGGCUCAUACCUGACGUUGAGGCACGAAAGCGUGGGGAGCAAACAGG
rnacentral:rRNA from 1 species